UACGGAGGGGGCUAGCGUUGUUCGGAAUUACUGGGCGUAAAGCGCGCGUAGACGGUUUUGUAAGUCAGAUGUGAAAUCCCUGGGCUCAACCUGGGAACUGCAUUUGAGACUGCAUGGCUAGAGUAUCGAAGAGGGAAGUGGAAUUUCCGGUGUAGCGGUGAAAUGCGUAGAUAUCGGAAGGAACACCAGUGGCGAAAGCGACUUCCUGGUCGAAUACUGACGUUCAUGUGCGAAAGCGUGGGGAGCAAACAGG
rnacentral:rRNA from 1 species